AAUAGGAAAAACAAAAUUGCACUUUGAAGCAAUCCUGAACUCAGUGUGCUUUGGCCCAAAUAUUGAUGAUGUAAGAAUUCUCCUUUUAAAAAAAAAUAAAGAAUUGUACCUUCAGCAGCUUUACAAACGCAGCUGUUGGGCAUAGGCUUCAAUUAUAUGUAAGUCAGUAUAUUGGUACCAGCUUGUGAAAAGAUCGUUAUAGGAUUCCUUUUUUUCCUUUUUUCCCUUCAGGGUCUUUUAGUUAACAGGAAAACCCAAGUGAACUGGUACUUCCAUCUCAGAUUGAAAUCAGCUGAAUAAAAGUUUUCUUUCCAAGAUUUCCUGGCAUGAUGGAAGAGAAAAAUCUUGCAAUCUCUGAAUCUUACGUAAGUUAAACAUUUUGGAUCUAAAGUAGCAGGAGACACCUAGUAUUCCUACAAAAUUAAUGGAGGAGAUUUUGGAGAUCUUCUGGUGAUCCAGU
ensembl:lncRNA